rnacentral:rRNA from 1 species
GACGAACGCUGGCGGCGUGCUUAACACAUGCAAGUCGAACGGAAAGGCCCUGCUUUUGUUGGUUGCUCGAGUGUCGAACGGGUGAGUAACACGUGAGUAACCUGCCCUUGACUUUGGGAUAACUUCAGUAAACUGGGUCUAAUACCGGAUAUGAGCUCCUGCUGCAUGUUGGGGGUUUGAAAGUUUCGGCGGUUGGGGAUGGACUCGCGGCUUAUCAGCUUGUUGGUGGGGUAGUGGCUUACCAAGGCUUUGACGGGUAGCCGGACUGAGAGGGUGACCGGCCACAGUGGGACUGAGAUACGGCCAAGACUCAUACGGGAGGCAGCAGUGGGGAAUAGUGCAAGAUGGGCGGAAGCAGGAAGCAGCAACGCCGCGUGCGGGAUGACGGCCGUAGGGUUGUAAACCGCUUGCGCCUGUGAAGAAGAGUGAGUGACGGUAAUGGGUAAAGAAGCAACGGCUAACUACGUG